rnacentral:rRNA from 1 species
AACGAACGCUGGCGGCAUGCCUAACACAUGCAAGUCGAACGAGACCUUCGGGUCUAGUGGCGCACGGGUGCGUAACGCGUGGGAACCUGCCCUUAGGUUCGGAAUAACUCCCCGAAAGGGGUGCUAAUACCGGAUAAUGUCUUCGGACCAAAGAUUUAUCGCCUUUGGAUGGGCCCGCGUUGGAUUAGCUAGUUGGUAGGGUAAAAGCCUACCAAGGCGACGAUCCAUAGCUGGUCUGAGAGGAUGAUCAGCCACACUGGGACUGAGACACGGCCCAGACUCCUACGGGAGGGAGCAGUGGGGAAUAUAGGACAAUGGGCGAAGGCCUGAUCCAGCAAUGCCGGGUGAGUGAUGAAGGCCUUAGGGUUGUAAAGCUCUUUUACCCGGGAUGAUAAUGACAGUACCGGGAGAAUAAGCUCCGGCUAACUCCGUG